AUUGAACGCUGGCGGUAUGCUUAACACAUGCAAGUCGAACGGCAGCGCAGUAAUAGCUUUCUCUUCCGGUGGCGGAGUGGCGAGCGGUGCAGGAAAACAUCGGCAUCUACUUUUUCUUGGGGGGUGACGGAGGGAAACUUACCCCAUUACACCUGACGGCGUAAGGGGGAAAGCAGAGGGCCUUCCGCCCUUGCACCGUUCAAUGACCCGAUGUCGGAUUAGCUAGUUGGCGGGGUAAAGGCCCACCAAGGCGACGAUCCGUAGCUGGUCUGAGAGGAUGAUCAGCCACACUGGAACUGAGACACGGUCCAGACUCCUACGGGAGGCAGCAGUGGGGAAUAUUGGACAAUGGGCGCAAGCCUGAUCCAGCCAUACCGCGUGGGUGAAGAAGGCCUUCGGGUUGUAAAGCCCUUUUGUUGGGAAAGAAAAGCAGCAGGUUAAUACCCCGCUGUUCUGACGGUACCCAAAGAAUAAGCACCGGCUAACUUCGUG
rnacentral:rRNA from 1 species